rnacentral:rRNA from 1 species
UACGGGGGGGGGCAAGCGUUGUUCGGAAUUACUGGGCGUAAAGGGCUCGUAGGCGGCCAACUAAGUCAGACGUGAAAUCCCUCGGCUUAACCGGGGAACUGCGUCUGAUACUGGAUGGCUUGAGUUUGGGAGAGGGAUGCGGAAUUCCAGGUGUAGCGGUGAAAUGCGUAGAUAUCUGGAGGAACACCGGUGGCGAAGGCGGCAUCCUGGGCCAACACUGACGCUGAGUGAGCGAAAGCCAGGGGAGCAAACGGG